rfam:Felis catus isolate Cinnamon breed Abyssinian chromosome F2, whole genome shotgun sequence.
GCCUGGGUGGCUCAGUCGGUUGAGCGUCAGACUUCGGCUCAGGUCAAGAUCUCGCGGUCCGUGAGUUCGAGCCCCGCGUCAGGCU